rnacentral:rRNA from 1 species
AACACCCGUUGAUCCUGCGGGGGGUCGCUGCUAUUAGAGUUCGACUUAGCUAAGCUAGUUCAGGGGUCGCAAGACACCAGCAGACAGUUCCGUAACACGUCGAUAAUCUGACCUUAGGUCAAAGAUAACCUUGGGAAACUGAGGCUAAUAUUUGAUACAAAAUAAAUACUGGAAUGUAUUAUUUUACAAAGGUUACGCCUAAGGAUGAGUCGGCGUCCGAUUAGCUUGUUGGUGGGGUAAUGGCCCACCAAGGCAAUGAUCGGUAGGGGCCUUGAGAGAGGUAGCCCCGAGGAGGACACUGAGAUAAGGGUCCUGACUCUACGGAGUAUAGCAAGCGCGAAAACUUUACAAUGCACGAAAGUGUGAUAAGGGAACUCUAAGUGCUCAUGCAUAGCAUGGGCUUUUGUUUAGUGUAAAAAGCUAGACGAAUAAGUGGUGGGCAAUACCGGUGCCAGCAGCCGCGGUAACACCGGAGCCACAAGUAGGGACCAGUAUUAUUGGGCCUAAAGCGUUCGUAGCCGGUUUUGUAAAUCCUAUGUGAAAUCGUUGGGCUUAACCCAACGGCGUGCAAAGGACACUGCAAGACUUGAGACCGGGAGAGGUUAGAGGUAUUCUAGGGGUAGCGGUAAAAUGCAAUAAUCCCUAGAGGACCACCUGUGGCGAAAGCGUCUAACUAGAACGGGUCUGACGGUGAGGAACGAAAGCUAGGGGAGCAAACCGGAUUAGAUACCCGAGUAGUCCUAGCCGUAAACACUGUAAGUUAGGUGUUGCAUAUUCCACGAGAAUAUGCAAUGUCGGAGCGAAGGCGUUAAACUUACCGCCUGGGUAGUACGGUCGCAAGACUGAAACUUAAAGGAAUUGGCGGGGGAGCACUACAAGGGGUGCGGCGUGCGGUUUAAUCCAACUCAACACGGAGAAUCUCACCAGGAGCGACAGCAGAAUGAAGGUCAGUCUAAAGGGCUUACUUGACAAGCUGAGAGGUGGUGCAUGGCCGUCGUCAGCUCGUGCCGUAAGGUGUCCUGUUAAGUCAGGCAACGAGCGAGACCUGUACCUACAAUUGCCAUCAGAUAAUUUAUUAUGACUGGGCACGUUGUAGGGACUGCCUUGGAAACAAGGAGGAAGGUGCAGGCUACGGUAGGUCUGUAUGCCCCGAAUCCCCUGGGCUACACGCGCGCAACAAUGGUAUGGACAAUGGGAUGCAACCCCGAAAGGGGAAGCUAAUCCUCAAAACCAUAUCCCAGUUCAGAUUGAGGGCUGUAACUCGCCCUCAUGACGUCGGAAUCCCUAGUAAUCAGAUUUUAGCAUAAUCUGGUGAAUAUGUCCCUGCUCCUUGCACACACCGCCCGUCAAGCCAACCGAGCAGGGUUUAGAUAAAACCUAGUUUUUUGAUUAGGUUGAAUCUGAUCUCAGUGAGGUGGGCUAAGUCGUCACAAGGUAGCCGUAGGGGAACCUGCGGCUGGAUCACCUCCUU